CCACUCUACAGUCGUUGGUAAUUAUAGCUACCGAUUCCAAAUUCACCUCAGGAGUCGAUGGUAGCUAUACUUACCAAUAGUCGGGGUUCCGUUAGGGUGACCAAUUUUAUGGAUUAACUAGUUUUACAAGCUAGUAUAGAUUAUAAAAUUAUACUAGUAUUGUGUACUAUAAAAAUCCUUACUAGGUGGUAUUUGCAUCUCUUCCCUAUGAGUUGGUAACAUUAAAAAAACAACUGUCGAAGUCAGACGAGUGUUGGUCGAGUCUACUGUCAACUACUGUGUUUGCGAUUGAGUGUUUUAGACAAGAAAUAUGCCCAGAUGCCCAGGAUAUUGAUUACAGGGUACACCAAAUUUGGUCAACUUUCAUCAUGAGAUGCUAUAGUUCAGCUAUAGAGAGGACACAGAGAGUAAUUACAAAAAAAAACGAAUUACUAAACUGCCAGUAGAUGUCCGACAGGAGCUUACGGACAGAAAGCGGCAGGCGCAAUUAGAUUUAGCAAUAAGGCCGCCUUUUGUCUCUAGUGUCUCGAUUUAUUUGUUUGGUACGUCAUUUUGUGCAAUCAAGUAUAUUGUAUUGCAAGACUGUAAUUUUAAAUUCUAAUAAAAAAUAUAUAUUUUUAAGGUCCGAAUGUUAAGUGCUUGGUAAAAAAUGUAAAUAAAACAAGCAUUCAAUUAUAAAUUGGUUUUAGUUCAUAUUAAUAAACCUUAAUUUUUCUACUGGUUUUCUUUAAUUCCUGAAAUCACACACACAAAAUGUCUAUGUUAAUCUUACCCGUUAUUGGUAACCAUAGUUACCAUCGACUUAAAAAGGCAGAAACGCUCAGUGCGAACAGAAACUUAGCGAGGGCGGCCAUCUUGGUAAGAAUACGGUGUUACAAAUAAGUCGUCACCAGGUGUUAUAUUUAUAUUUCUUGUGUUUAAACUAAGUAACAUUAAAAUAUAAUUUGAAUACUAGUAAAAAGUGUAAGAAAUGCGCUUUCAAAUAAAAAUUAUUACAGUCCCUAGAACAUGAUACUUUACAUGCUAUUAACAGGCAUGGCUGGGAUAACUGAAAAAAUGAGCGGAUUCUGUCAAUUCUAAUUGGAUUUGAGAUAGAUUUUAUAAUGUGAUCUUUUUUAUUUUUAUCUAAUUAGAAUCAUUGCACAUCUGGCUUGCUGUUUCUGAAUUUUCUUUAUUAUAGCCACAGUAGUUUUUGAGUUACAAGCCUAUUUAUAACACGCCACGAUAUCGCCCAUCGAACGCCGCGCAAGUUCGAAAUGCCUGGACUGUUGAGGCUAGAUUUGCUAGUGCGCCUGGACUGUCAAGUGGUU